rnacentral:lncRNA from 1 species
UCUAAGGACUAUCUAUAUCCGAGUUCUCAAAAUAAUCUCUAAACUCAUCUCUAGGCGCACACUUUUUAAUUCCAAGACGUGCAUCUUCCCAAUCUUUUAAGCAAAUAAGACAAUCUAAAAUAUCCGGAGCUAAUUUACUUCUCCUCUCAUCUAAAACUCUAUUACCUGCACUAAAAGCAGAUUCGGAUGCAACUGAAGAGGCAGGAGGUGUAAG